AAUAAUUUAUUCGGUGGAUGAAAGUGAUUUCUGAAAUGGAUAACCGUUGGAAAAGCUAGAGCUAAUACAUGCAACAGAGCAAUUUCUGCGGCCAAGUGGAAAUGUACAUAUUAGCAACAAAAAGAAUAUCCAAAAAAGUUUAAACAAAAGGAUGAAUGAUAAUAUUUCAAACAAAGCAUAUAGAACAGAUGAGAGAAGUAAUUCUCUGAUUUGGAUGCUAAACCGAUCAAAUUUCUGCCCUAUCAACUUUGGACGGUAACGUAGUGGGUUACGGUGGUGAUGACGGGUAACGGAGAAUGAGGGUUUGAUUCCGGAGAGGGAGCAUGAGAAAUGGCUACCACU
rnacentral:rRNA from 1 species